rnacentral:lncRNA from 1 species
UUUUUUCCGGGAUUUUGUUUUUAAAGGCAUCGAUCGGGAGAUGCGGGCAGAAAUUGCUGCUGCUGCUGGGGCCGGGAGCUGAGCACCUCCGGAGCAAACCGGGAGCAGCUGAACUUUGGCGCUGGGAAAGAUUCAUUUCUCCUCCGUAAACACUUUGGGGACGACCACAGCGCAUCAUCGCACACCCAGCGCUGCAGCACCCGGUGCUGGAGAGACACUGGGGGGUUCCUCUCUCACCAAGGACGGACACCUGUGUAAGGAGCUGGGGAAGGGCAAUUCAUCUUUCUUUUCCAGAUGACUGCAAAUACCGAAAGGAUCGUGGCUCUCUGCUUUCCAUCAGCAAGUGGCAUUAGGGAGAGGCAGAGGAAUGGAAAUGAUGUUGCUCCAAUUCAUCCCAGCAUCUACUUUUUCCCAAGGGACUCCAUGCCCAUAGGGGUUUGCUGCAUGCAUGUCCAGCAGUGAGGACAGCAGUACCACAGAUGCAUCCCAACUGGAUCAUAUCUCUGCCCUCAUUGCAACUAUGCUCAUUUGCAACAUCAGUGCCAUCAAAGAUUGGAGCACUUUCCUCUCUCAGAUCCUCCCCAGCGUGAACAAGACCCUGAACUUGGUGCAGCAAGUGGAGGCCACUACCAGCUCAGUAGUGAGCGUCCUGCAGGACCCCGAGCAGGACAGCUACCUGGCCAACAGCCAGCCCAUGAACUCCAGCAACUUCACGGCCGGCCUAGACCACUUGUUUCAGUACUCUUACUCCGACAAUGACCAGCUGUACAAGGAGUACAAACCCCCUCCUCGCGACGCCAUCCCUCUGCCCAAGGCUGUCCUCUACCUCCUCAUGGCAGCCCUGGUGGUGGUGGCAGUGGCAUACGCCAUUGUUGGGCACCUCAUCAAGGACCUCAUUCAUGACUUUAUAGAUUGGAUCUUCGGCCCCAACCCAGAUGACAACAGCAACAAAAGCGACGUCAACUGCAUCACCAGCAGUGUCAAUGAGAUGAGCGAGAUGCCCGAGGUGCUGCGCCAUCAUGACCGCCAGCCCCAGGAUGUGGUCAUCGCCAUCAGCGAGACCUGCCACCUGCCACAGCAGACAUGA